rnacentral:rRNA from 1 species
GAUGAACGCUAGCUACAGGCUUAACACAUGCAAGUCGAGGGGAAACGACAUCGAAAGCUUGCUUUUGAUGGGCGUCGACCGGCGCACGGGUGAGUAACGCGUAUCCAACCUGCCCACCACUUGGGGAUAACCUUGCGAAAGUAAGACUAAUACCCAAUGAUAUCUCUAGAAGACAUCUGAAAGGGAUUAAAGAUUUAUCGGCGAUGGAUGGGGAUGCGUCUGAUUAGCUUGUUGGCGGGGUAACGGCCCACCAAGGCGACGAUCAGUAGGGGUUCUGAGAGGAAGGUCCCCCACAUUGGAACUGAGACACGGUCCAAACUCCUACGGGAGGCAGCAGUGAGGAAUAUUGGUCAAUGGGCGAGAGCCUGAACCAGCCAAGUAGCGUGCAGGAUGACGGCCCUAUGGGUUGUAAACUGCUUUUAUAAGGGAAUAAAGUGGGAGUCGUGACUCUUUUUGCAUGUACCUUAUGAAUAAGGACCAGCUAAUUCCGUGCCAGCCGCCGCAGUAA